CCGGGUGAGUAACACGUGACUAACCUACCCUCGAGUGUGGAAUAACAUCGGGAAACCGAUGCUAAUACCGCAUAAUAUCGGCGCUUUUCAAAGGUGCCAAUCAAAGGAGCAAUUCGCUUGAGGAGGGGGUCGCGGCUGAUUAGCUAGUUGGCGGGGUAAUGGCCCACCAAGGCGAAGAUCGGUAGCCGGCCUGAGAGGGCGCACGGCCACACUGGAACUGAAACACGGUCCAG
rnacentral:rRNA from 1 species